AUGCAACGCGAAGAACCUUACCAGGGCUUGACAUCCUGCGAACCUCUGGGAAACCGGAGGGUGCCUUCGGGAACGCAGUGACAGGUGGUGCAUGGCUGUCGUCAGCUCGUGUCGUGAGAUGUUGGGUUAAGUCCCGCAACGAGCGCAACCCACGUCUUUAGUUGCCAGCAUUUAGUUGGGCACUCUAGAGAGACCGCCGGUGACAAACCGGAGGAAGGUGUGGAUGACGUCAAGUCAUCAUGCCCCUUACGUCCUGGGCUACACACGUACUACAAUGCUACGGACAAAGGGCAGCAAGUUCGCGAGGACAAGCAAAUCCCAUAAACCGUGGCUCAGUUCAGAUCGUAGGCUGCAACUCGCCUACGUGAAGGAGGAAUCGCUAGUAAUCGCAGGUCAGCAUACUGCGGUGAAUACGUUCCCGGGCCUUGUGCACACCGCCCGUCACACCAUGGAAGUUGGCCACGCCCGAAGUCGUUACUCCAACCCUCUGGGAGGAGGACGCCGAAGGUGGGGCUGAUGACUGGGGUGAAGUCGUAACAAGGUAGCCUAC
rnacentral:rRNA from 1 species